CAUUGGCCUCUAGGGGGAGCCCAUCGGCCGUCAACCUCUGAGGAUCUCCUCCUCCGGGCUGGCAGGCUGGCCCUUGCAGAGCUCAGGUUGGGCAGCAGCCAGAAUAAGGCUAUGGCAAGGUUUGAUAAAUUGGUGUUUUGUGCCUCCUGCACUGUGGGCAACUUCCUGACGGACAACUGCUGACUUUCUAGACUUUGAAGCUAAAAGAUAUGUAGGAGACAGAGGUCUCGUGGUUUUGGCUAAUAAAAGUCUUCCCUAGCUAACUGAUCACAGAUCAGUAAGCGUCCGGCUUUGCUGUGAAAAUGUCUCCCUCACUUCUGGUUUGUCUUACCAAUAACUGAUUAGUCAUUAGUUGAACUGUCUAAUGACUUAAAACAAUCUAACAACGCAAGAUGUUCUCCAUUGUGCACACCUAUAUUCUGCCUCUAAAGAUUUCCUGAAGAAAGAAGUCAUGCAAACCAGAAAGCAAGGUGUGUACACCUUGCAACUUGAAUUGGGUCAGAGAGCAGACCCCAAGGGUGGAAGGAGGAAAACAUCUGCCUUUCUCACAGCAGAACUCCAGCCGCAGUGACCAGGCCAGGCCAAUUGUCAAGAAGAAAUUUAUCUCAGUUAUGUUGCCAUCAGGAACUCAGAGGAUCUUUCAGCUCUUUGAAAACCAGCCAAGGACUACAUGUAUUCGAAAGUGCCUGCAAAUAUUACAAACAGCAAGAGGAAGGGUGUUGUCAAGAGAACUGAAAGCCUGACCUGUGCCUCAACCCAGCAUUGAUCUUGACACUUCAACUCACAUCAAGGUGAUGCUCUUAGCUUUUGUCAGGUGACUCAAUAUCGCUGAUCAUGUGAAGAAAAAG
rnacentral:lncRNA from 1 species